GUGCUGGUGACACAACAGUGCAAUGUGUGACACAACAGUGCAAUGUGUGACACAACAGUGCUGUGUGUGACACAACAGUGCUGAGUGUGACACAACAGUGCUGAGUGUGACACAACACAGUGGCCAAUGUGUGUGACACAACACAGUGCUGUGUGUGACACAACAGUGCUGGUGUGACACAACAGUGCUGGUGUGACACAACAGUGCUGAGUGUGACACAACAGUGCAAUGAAUGUGUGACACAACAGUGCUGAGUGUGACACAACAGUGCAAUGUGUGACACAACAGUGCUGAGUGUGACACAACAGUGCAAUGUGUGACACAACAGUGCAAUGUGUGACACAACAGUGCUGAGUGUGACACAACAGUGCCAAAUGUGUGUGACACAACAGUGCUGAGUGUGACACAACAGUGCUGAGUGUGACACAACAGUGCUGAGUGUGACACAACAGUGCUGAGUGUGACACAACAGUGCAAUGUGUGACACAACAGUGCUGUGUGACACAACAGUGCAAUGUGUGACACAACAGUGUCCUUUUUGUCACGAUAGGGCCACAAUAGCGCCCUUUGUGUCAUGAUAGUGCCACAAUGUUGCCCUUUAUGUCACGAUAGUGCCACUAUAGUGCCUUUUAUGUCGUGAUAGGGCCUCGAUAGUUCCACAGUAGUGCCCUUUAUGUCAUGAUAGUGCCACAAUAGUGCCACGAUAGUGCCCUUUAUGUCGUGAUAGGGCCACAUUAGUGCCCUUUAUGUUAUGAUAGGGCCACGAUAGUGCCACGAUAGUGCCCUUUGUGUCAUGAUAGUGCCAGGAUAGUGCCCUUUAUGUCGUGAUAGUGCUACAAUAGUGCAAUGAUAGUGCUCUUUAUGUCAUGAUAGUGCCACAGUAGUGCCCUUUAAGUCACGAUAGUGCCACGAUAGUGCCCUUUAUGUCGCGAUAGUGUCACGAUAGUGCCACGAUAGUGCGCUUUAUGUCGUGAUAGUGCUAUGAUAGGGCCACGAUUGGGCACUUUAUGUCGUGUUAGUGCCACAAUAGUGCCCUUUAUGUUGUGAUAAUGCCAUGAUAGGGCCACGAUAGUGCUCUUUAUGUCGUGAUAGUGCCACAAUAUUGACCUUUAUGUCAUGAUAGUGCCCUUUAUGUCAUGAUAUGGCCAUAAUAGUGCCCUUUAUGUCAUGAUAGUGCCACAAUAGUGCCCUUUAUGUCACGAUAGUGCCACGAUAGUGCCACAAUACUGUCCUUUAUGUCAUGAUAGUGCCACAAUAGUGCUGUGAAAGUGCCCUUUAUGUCAUGAUAGUGCCACGAUAGUGCCCUUUAUGACAUGAUAGUGCCACAAUAGUGGCCUUUUUGUCUCAAUAGGGCCAGAAUAGUGCCCUUUAUGUCGCGAUAGUGUCACGAUAGUGCCUUUUAUGUCGUGAUAGUGACAUGAUAGGGCCACGAUUGUGCCCUUUGUGUCACGACAGUGCCACAGUAGUGCCCUUUAUGACGUGAUAGUGCCACGAUAGUGCCACGAUAGUGCCCUUUGUGUCACAAUUGGUCCACGAUAGUGCCCUUUAUGUCGUGAUAUUGCCACAAUAGUGCCCUUUAAGUCACGAUAGAGCCAUGAUAGUGCCACGAUAGUGCCCUUUAUGUCAUGAUAGUGCCAUGAAAAGGCCACGAUAGUGCCCUUUAUGUCAUGAUAGUGCCACAAUAUUGCCCUUUAAGUCAUGAUAGUGCCACAAUAGUGCCCUUUAUGUCAUGAUAGUGCCACAGUAGUGCACUUUAUGUUGUGAUAUUGCCACGAUAGUGCCCUUUGUGUCACGAUAGUGCCCUUUAUGUCAUGAUAGGACCCCAAUAGUGCCCUUUAUGUCGUGAUAGUGCCACGAUAGUGCCCUUUAUGUCGUGAUAGUGCCACAAUAGUGCAUUGAUAGUGCCCUUUAUGUCGUGAUAGUGCCACAAUAGUGCCCUUUAUGUCAUGAUAGUGCCACAGUAGUGCCCUUUAAGUCACGAUAGUGCCACCAUAGUGCCCUUUAUGUCAUGAUAGGGCCAUAAUAGUGCCACAAUAGUGCCCUUUGAGUCACAACAAUGCCACGAUAGUGCCCUUUAAGUCACGAUAGUGCCCUUUCUGUCAUGAUAGGGCCACAAUAGAGCACUUUAUGUCGUGAUAGUGCCACGAUAGUGCCACACUAGUGCCCUUUAUGUCACGAUAGUGCCACAAUAGUGCCACAAUAGUGCCCUUUGUGUCACGAUAGGGCCACAAUAGUGCCCUUUAAGUCACUAUAGUGCCCUUUAUGUCAUGAUAGUGCCACAAUAGUGCCCUGUGUGUCAUGAUAGGGCCACAAUAGUGCCCUUUAAGUCACGAUAGUGCCCUUUAUGUCAUGAUAGGGCCACAAUAGUGCCCUUUAUGUCACGAUAGUGACACGAUAGUGCCACGAUAGUGCCUUUUACGUCGUGAUAGGGCCACGAUAGUGCCUUUUAUGUCGUGAUAGUGCCAUGAUAGGGCCACAAUAGUGCCCUUUGUGUCACGACAGUCUCACAAUAGUGCCCUUUAUGUCGUGAUAGUGCCACAAUAAUGUCCUCUAUGUCAUGAUAGUGCCACAAUAGUGCCCUUUAUGUCACGAUAGUGCCACGAUAGUGCCCUUUAUGUCAUGAUAGUGCCACGAUAGUGCAAUGAUAGUGCCCUUUAUGUCGCGAUAGUGCCACAAUAGUGCCCUUUAUGUUGUGAUAGUACCACGAUAGUGCAACAGUAGUGCCCUUUAUGCCAUGAUAGUGCCACAAUAGUGCCCUUUAUGUCAUGAUAGUGUCCUUUAUGUCGUGAUAGUGCCACGAUAGUGCCAUGAUAGUGCCCUUUGUGUCACGAUAGUGCCACAGUAGUGCCCUUUAUGUCAUGAUAGUGCCACGAUAGUGCCCUUUAUGUCGUGAUAGUGCCACAGUAGUGCCCUUUAAGUCACGAUAGUGCCACAAUAGUGCACUUUAUGUUGUGAUAUUGCCACAAUAGUGCCCUUUAUGUCGCGAUAGUGCCACAAUAGUGCCCCGAUAGUGCCCUUUAUGUCGUGAUAGUGCAAAAAUAGUGCCCCGGGAUGUGGGGCCAUAUGGGAUAUGGGAUGUGGGGUGUGGGAUAUGGGGCCAUAUGGGGUAUAGGAUAAGGGGU
rnacentral:lncRNA from 7 species